rnacentral:lncRNA from 1 species
GGAGCAGGGUAGUGUGUAUAACUAGGGAGCAGGGUAGUGUAUAUAUCUAAGGAGCAGGGUAGUGUAUAUAUCUAGGGAGCAGGGUAGUGUCUAUAACUAGGGAGCAGGGUAGUGUGUAUAACUAGGGUAGUGUAUAUAUCUAGGGAGCAGGGUAGUGUGUAUAACUAGGGUAGUGUAUAUAACUAGGGUAGUGUAUAUAACUAGGGUAGUGUAUAUAUCUAGGGAGCAGGGUAGUGUAUAUCUAAGGAGCAGGGUAGUGUAUAUAACUAGGGAGCAGGGUAGUGUCUAUAACUAG